UAAACGAUGCCACUGACGAUCCGUGGUGGUAGUAGUGUUACCUUCCCCACGGGCAGUCCCCGGGAAACCUUUAAGUGUUUGGGUUCCGGGGGAAGUAUGGUUGCAAAGCUGAAACUUAAAGGAAUUGACGGAAGGGCACCACCAGGAGUGGAGCCUGCGGCUUAAUUUGACUCAACACGGGAAAACUCACCCGGGCCGGACACUGUGAGGAUUGACAGAUUGAGAGCUCUUUCUUGAUUUGGUGGUUGGUGGUGCAUGGCCGUUCUUAGUUGGUGGAGCGAUUUGUCUGGUUAAUUCCGAUAACGAACGAGACUCCAGCCUGCUAAUUAGUGCGUUUGUCCACUGCGCCUGCGUAGGUGACGCUGGAUGACACCACCUGUCACGAGGACGUGGCAGCGGCUCUCCUCUCCGCUUCUCCGCUCGAGUGCUCUCCAGCGCCUCCUCCUCCUGCUUCUCCUCCACCUCCUCCUCCUCCUUCUUCAGCGCCUCAUCUAGCUGGCUGGCUGGCUGGCUGGCCGGGUGAGGUGGUGGUGGUGGCGGUGGCGGUGGUGGUGAUAGCGAUGGGGUGGGGAUGGUGCGGGUGGGCGAGUGGAUUGUGGUGGAGGUGUGGGGUUGGGUGCGGCGCUCGUGGCCGGUUAGUCUGGCGUUGGCCUCCGGGUGUGGCGCGAAUGCCUACUUCUUAGAGGGACAAGCGGGAGAAGCCGCACGAAAUAGAGCAAUAACAGGUCUGUGAUGCCCUUAGAUGUCCGGGGCCGCACGCGCGCUACAAUGACGGUGUCAGCGAGUCAGGCCUUCUGGCCCGAAAGGGUUGGGCAAACUGGUCAAUCACCGUCGUGACAGGGAUCGGGGCUUGGAAUUGUUCCCCGUGAACGAGGAAUUCCUAGUAAGUGCAAGUCAUAAGCUUGCGCUGAUUACGUCCCUGCCCUUUGUACACACCGCCCGUCGCUACUACCGAUUGAAUGGUUUAGUAAGGUCCUCGGAUUGGCGUCAUUGCGGCGGUGGCCGAGAGGUCAUAGCCCGACGGGCGCUGAGAAGACGACCGAACUUGAUCAUUUAGAGGAAGUAAAAG
rnacentral:rRNA from 1 species